GUACCUGCUGCUUUGGUAAAGAAGAAAGAAGAUGUUCUCGUCAUCAUGAGAUCCAGUGUCAUUCGGACCGUUGUGGGCACCGCCACUUCUGGAAGCUUAGUGACCUUCAAAGAUUCUACAACGAUAAAUCCCCUGCAAUUUGCCGGUCUGACAAACGCUGGUCCAAAGUAUUUGACAUAAAGAGUGUAACAAUUUGGCUCAAUGCUAGUACUG